rnacentral:rRNA from 1 species
UACGUAAGGGGCAAGCGUUGUCCGGAAUCAUUGGGCGUAAAGCGCACGUAGGCGGUCUGUUAUGUCGGAUGUGAAAGCCCUUGGCUUAACUGAGGAAGUGCAUCCGAAACUGGCAGGCUAGAGUACUAAAGAGGGUCGCGGAAUUCCCGGUGUAGAGGUGAAAUUCGUAGAUAUCGGGAGGAACACCGGUGGCGAAGGCGGCGACCUGGGUAGAUACUGACGCUGAGGUGCGAAAGCGUGGGGAGCAAACAGG